rnacentral:rRNA from 1 species
AUGACAUUCAUCUCGAGUGUAUUUCUAGUCGUUCCCAUGACUACUCAUCGCUUCAUUUGUUUGAUUGUGUUUGCUACACUCUUGUUGCCCCCCCCCCACCCCCGUGAACACAUCAAACUGACUGCUCGAUCUGUUGAAUGUGUCUUCUUGGGUUACAGUGAUGAGCACAAGGGCUAUCGGUGUUGGGAUCCUGUCGAUCGGUGGAUGCGCAUUUCUCGGGAUGUGAAUUUUGAUGAGUCUCAUCCUUUCUAUCCAUGCUUAUCCUCUCCUUCGGCCUCCCCCGUCAAGGAUAUUUAUUUCCUAACUUUUUCCCAAUACACCUAUCACCCAUGUAUUGCCCUUGUCUACACAAACCACCGUGUCUUCCCAUACUAUUGUUAUAGGCCCCACGUCGUCGUCACCUGCAGCUUUUCUUGA